ACUUGGCUGAUGGUCAUCGAACGGUAGGUUGCUCCUAAAGGUGGCGCUACUUGGCUUGCGGUUUAACAUUAAUGGGUAAUGUCCCUAUGCAGGUGUGCUGGUCUAGGCAAGCUUCUCUCCCCAUUCUGUGUCGACGGUGCGUUGGCGCCGAGCUCUCGGAAACAUCUUAAACGCGGUAGCCGUUUGUUGUGGCUUCACUGCAUUUUAUCACUCCUGUAAUCUGGUUGUGCUGGAGCAGCACCUAUCCGUAGAGGAGGAUGAUGAUGUCCCCCCUACCAUUUGUAAGAAGAAGGUAAAGAAGAAGUUGCUGGUGGAACAGCCCAAAGAUGGAGAUCUUGAGAAUCUGUCCGGCGGUGGAGACGAAC